AGUGAACGCUGGCGGUAGGCCUAACACAUGCAAGUCGAACGGCAGCACAGUAAGAGCUUGCUCUUACGGGUGGCGAGUGGCGGACGGGUGAGGAAUACAUCGGAAUCUACUUUUUCGUGGGGGAUAACGUAGGGAAACUUACGCUAAUACCGCAUACGACCUACGGGUGAAAGCAGGGGAUCUUCGGACCUUGCGCGAUUGAAUGAGCCGAUGUCGGAUUAGCUAGUUGGCGGGGUAAAGGCCCACCAAGGCGACGAUCCGUAGCUGGUCUGAGAGGAUGAUCGGCCACCUUGGAAGUGAGACACGGUCAAGACUCCUACGGGAGGCAGCAGUGGGGAAUAUUGGGCAAUGGGCGCAAGCCUGAUCCAGCCAUACCGAGUGGGUGAAGAAGGCCUUCGGGUUGUAAAGCCCUUUUGUGGGGAAAGAAAAGCAGCAGGUUAAUACCCCGCUGUUCUGACGGUACCCAAAGAAUAAGCACCGGCUAACUUCGUG
rnacentral:rRNA from 1 species